AGUGAACGCUGGCGGUAGGCCUAACACAUGCCAGUCGAACGGCAGCACAGUAAGAGCUUGCUCUUACGGGUGGCGAGUGGCGGACGGGUGAGGAAUACAUCGAAAUCUACUUUUUCGUGGGGGAUAACGUAGGGAAACUUACGCUAAUACCGCAUACGACCUACGGGUGAAAGCAGGGGAUCUUCGGACCUUGCGCGAUUGAAUGAGCCGAUGUCGGAUUAGCUAGUUGGCGGGGUAAAGGCCCACCAAGGCGACGAUCCGUAGCUGGUCUGAGAGGAUGAUCAGCCACACUGGAACUGAGACACGGUCCAGACUCCUACGGGAGGCAGCAGUGGGGAAUAUUGGACAAUGGGCGCAAGCCUGAUCCAGCCAUACCGCGUGGGUGAAGAAGGCCUUCGGGUUGUAAAGCCCUUUUGUUGGGAAAGAAAAGCAGCAGGUUAAUACCCCGCUGUUCUGACGGUACCCAAAGAAUAAGCACCGGCUAACUUCGU
rnacentral:rRNA from 1 species